AUUGAACGCUGGCAGCAUGCUUUACACAUGCAAGUCGAACGGUAACAGGCCGCAAGGUGCUGACGAGUGGCGAACGGGUGAGUAAUGCAUCGGAACGUGCCCAGUCGUGGGGGAUAACUACUCGAAAGAGUAGCUAAUACCGCAUACGAUCUAUGGAUGAAAGCGGGGGACCGUAAGGCCUCGCGCGAUUGGAGCGGCCGAUGUCAGAUUAGGUAGUUGGUGGGGUAAAGGCUCACCAAGCCAACGAUCUGUAGCUGGUCUGAGAGGACGACCAGCCACACUGGGACUGAGACACGGCCCAGACUCCUACGGGAGGCAGCAGUGGGGAAUUUUGGACAAUGGGCGCAAGCCUGAUCCAGCAAUGCCGCGUGCAGGAAGAAGGCCUUCGGGUUGUAAACUGCUUUUGUACGGAACGAAACGGCUCUGGUUAAUACCCGGGGCUAAUGACGGUACCGUAAGAAUAAGCACCGGCUAACUACGUG
rnacentral:rRNA from 1 species